AAAGGAGGGCACUGUUCCAGAUAAAAGGGACAUAGGAGAUACAAAGAUCUAAGACAACACACGGCUCUUGUUUGGAACCCAGAUCAUCAAAUCAACUGUAAAAGGACAUAAGUACCAGAAAGAUGUGGACAGGGCCAGAGACCCAAAGGAAUGGUGUAGUCUUCAGCAGCUGCCAAGGAUGAGAAGCCUGUGUCAUAGCACAACUGAGAAGAGGAAGCAGCUCCUGGAACCGAAGAGGGUGGCUGUGUGGGGAGGUCCACUUGACAGGAGCUGUGACCUUGGGUAGAAAGCUGCUGCCGACCCUUAGUGUUGCGGCAGGAAGGGAAACAAGAAAUAAAUACCCCCACUGCUGUCUUCUUCCAUCUUGUGAUGGCUUUCUCGUGCCUAGGUUUGGCUGACUCUUACAGUCAGCUUCAGGGGUAGUGUGAGAUGGCGAGUGAAAGAUAUAGAAAAUGACAAUCCCUGGGGAAAAGGCAAACAUAAUCCUUUCCCAGUGACAAUGAACCUCAGAGGAAGAAGAUAAGCUUGGGACUUUCCAUCCUUUCCCAGCAACACUUUUACAACCUGUUUCCUGACUGCCCAAACACACACGUUCUGCAGAAGUCUCCAAUGAUUAAGUCACUCUCAUUGUAACCUAUAAAAUGCAGACCCCUCUUGUAACUGGGGGCCAUUUUCUAUCCGAAAAAUGAGCCCCUCCAAUGCCUGACUGAUUGACUCUGCAGCUUAAUAAAUGGCAUCACUGAAUCUGUUGA